GCAUUUUCGAGCCAAAAGUGUGAAGCACCUAGGCGGGGAAAUCAGUCCACUGGAUUGAUUUCUGAUCCCGCUUCGAUGCGUUGGAAAAUGCGACAAAACAAAUAGUUAGAGCGGUUCCGUUAAGACAAGAGCCGCUCUGGACGAAAGGCGGCG
rnacentral:misc_RNA from 1 species